UUCAGCUGGGCUAUUUUCUAUCUCGUUGAUAACUCUCUUCACCGUGAUCUUACUGUCAAAAAGCAAAUUUUGACACUAUUCGUAUUGUGUAUGUUCGGUUGGGGUCGAAUAAUGACGUCAUAGUUGGUAUGGGCUUCAAUACCCACCGGCCGCCAUCUUGUUAAAAUUUUGUAUGCGAAUAUUUUAUCGAAACCCGAGAUUGGUAUUUUGUAUCGGAUAGUUGGAAUCAUAAGUACUAAUUUGGGUUGGCCAACCGUCUUGUCUUGGGCAACUAGUAAAUAGUAGCUUUUAAACCAUAGAGUCACCAUAGAAUGUAGAAAAUAACGUUUUUUUUUAAUUGUAACGCUGAAGUCUUCUUGUUCUUAUGAUCUUGAACAAAAUAAUAUUUCUUUGAUGUUUGUUUUGUGAAUCUUGCAAAUUUUUGGUCUUCUAUAAUUAGUAAAUAGGGACUCUGGUUAUGCUCUACGGCCAUGGAUGUUAACACCUAUCCUCUAUGCAGCUGUAGGAUCCCCAGAAGAACACUACACUGAUCUACAUUGCCGUGUCAGAAAUACUGUGGAGCGGUGCAUUGGGGCCCUUAAAACACGCUGGAGAUGUUUGCUGGCACACCGUGUGCUUCACUAUGAGCCCACCAAAGCUGCGAAAAUAGUAAAUGACUGCUGUGUACUACACAAUAUAGCAAAUGCACACAAUAUACCAGUGACGACAACUUGCCUGCUGCUGGUAACAUUCGGGUGCAGCAUAUUGGUAACGUGGCUUAUGGUGCUGGUGAUGCAGAUGCAGGGCGCAUGAGGGCCAACCUUGUCCAAAGGCUGUGAAUUCAAGUGUCAAGGAACUAAAAUAACCUGACUGAUAGGCUGAUUUUUGCUGUAUAUGUAUAAUUUUGUAAUAAAAAACUCAAUUUAUAUUAAUGGCUUUUAUUUUUGAUUUUAAAUCACAUAACUUCCUAUCACAUUUUGCUUCUACCAGUCUUACUAUAAUCAUUAUUAAAAUAAUUUUUCUA